GAGCCUGACAAACUUUUUAUUUGAUGUAGGUCACAGGUCAAAAUGUAGAUCACAGUGACCUAAUUUUGACACAUGACACACAACCUCACCUAGGUGAAUCAAUGUCCCAGAUAUAAAGCACAAGUGUCAAGUAAUGUAGGAGAUAGAGCCAGGACAAGAUUAUAAUGUGCAGAAAUAAAGAGAAGACAGAUUGACACAACACAAACCUUUUUUAAUAGUCCCCUAGGCUCCAGUUCCUGAUGGGGACUCUAUGAUCUGGUGUAUAGUUUUAAGCAAAAUCAUUGCCUCGUCCAUUUACAUAUAUCUGUAGGCAAAUUGUUUCACAUGCUUUACUGAUCUGAUGGAUAUAUUCCAGGUAUACUGCAUGACAGUAUACAGCUAAUAAUUUACAUGCAUGAACCUGUGCUGUGAGAGUUUUAUUGUAUGUACAGGAGAAACUGAAGACAUGCUGCCACAAAUGAAACACUUGGAAUCCUAAAUAUGUUUCGCUAUGUCCGCUAUGUCCGUUUUACUGGGUUCCUUUCGCUGGUGUCUUAGGCCUAAGGAUACAACUUCUGCCAAUCCCUAAUGUUGGCCUCAAGUCCAGCUGUUUUCCUAUCUAGAACUACACAAGGGAGGCUCUAUCAAUAGGGCAAAUUCAUUGAUAAAUGUGUUAAAGAUGCUAGCCUUGCCUGAUCAGUUUUUGUUGGUUGUAAAGAAAAACAGUGCCAGACUGUCUGGGUACAAUGUGUCAGUGUUAUUGUAAACAGAUUUACACCCUUUAUUAUUAGCCGAAUUAAAGAUUUCAACACACCA